UAAAGGGCAUUAUCAUUUUCACAAUUUCACAGAAUUAUUCCAACAGUGUGGAAACAUAAAACUCAUAAAUAACACAGUAAAAUCACGUUCUGACUGCAAUGGGCCUUUAUAGACUGCCACCUUUUUCUUAUUUUGUCAAAGCAAUUACUGGAAGUCGUUUCCACUUCUCAACCCUUGAGUGCACACUUGGCCUGAACUGGGGUGAGGCUGUGACACACUGAGGGCAUUGUCAUAAUUAAUUAUAGUGCUGAUAAUUCAGAUUUCUGAUUUGCCCCUCUUUCUACACACCCAGCUCAUUAUUACUCUGUCUUGCUCAUCAGAUGCAUGCAUCAAUGCCCUCUCCUGCAGGCUGUAGGGCAACACCCUCAUAAAUGAAUAAAAACAGAGUAGACUAAAAGCAUUAUAUUCUUUACUUCAAACAUCCCUUCCUGCGGUUGUUUAACUGGUGAUUGUAUCUCAUUGUUGACUUUUGGAACUCUGCCUUUGUUUCCUACAACUAUAGAUGAGUUUAAAUCAGGCAACAUCAGCACAGACCUUCGGUGGUGUGUCUUCACCAGGAGGGGGAGUCCCUACUUUACACAGACUCAGGUAUGCCAGGUGUCACUCAGAGCCUGUUCAGCCCAAGUGGCAGAGAGAGGUAGACGGAGCUCAGACACAGAUACGUUGAGGGUUUUCCCUGAGAGUUAUAUUUCCAAGGAUUCACUCACCUUCCAAGACAAGGGGGAGGACAUUUCUGCCUAUAAACAACAAGGUAAAAACAAUGCAUGAUGCGCAAUCACCACCCACUUGGGUACCAGAAACAAUACAGAGGACAUCCGCGCGCCACACCUUCCUACUGUUUAUCCAUGAGCAAAAGAUACACCGCCGACCCUCCCCACCGCAAAGCAGCUGAAGGCCUGUCAUCGGAACCUCAUAGCAUCUGGCUCGGAGGAUCAUCGUCCCUUCCCAAACUAUUUUAAUAAACGUUCAUACUUUAAUUUAGUCUUUGUUGUUCAUUCAGUUAGCCUGUCAUUGUUUGAACUGAUGUUAACAUGUAGAGGUGGUUAUUGGAUACUGUCUGCUUAGUAGAGGUGAGGGGAAUUAUGUGUUAAGUAGGUCAUAAUUUACAUGUAGUAAAUGUUAUUCUAGUAUUUGUAAGGUGGUAACUGUAUAAUUGAUGCGUGUACAUAGCUCUGAAAGGAAUGCUGUGAAGUUGUAAGACCUAACCAGGCCAGUGGAAGUCAGUGCUACUGUGGCUUCUUUAUUAAACAUCUACUUUUGUAUCUGAUUGGUUCCUCAAUAAAUAUUUC